CCUUACCUAUUACUAGCUUCACUUUCUCUGUCAGGACUCUGUCUUUGUUCACCAGUGGUCCCUUUUUUCCCUGUGACGGAGCAUGUUGUCAUUUUUUCUAAGGUGGAAAUGGAGUCCAUCACAGUUCUGAGUAACAUAAGUGUAUGGAAUUGAAACGACAUAAGGUUGAGUGUGAAUCAUCCACUAUCUGAAAAAGAAGUGUAUGGAGUGUUGAGGUCAGCAGUAUUUUAAAUAAUGAUUAUGAAAAAUUGCACAUCUAUCAGCUGUUUACAAACCCAGGUAUUGCUAGUGCAGGAGUUUUUUAACGGUAUGAUAGCUAGUACCCCAUAUGAUAAAGUUUUAGCGAGAGACCCGUUUCCUAAAGUUUUUAUCCAUAUUUUGUAAAGAAACAUUGUAAUUAUGUUUUCAGCAAUUUUUUUACAAACUCAAAUACUUUGCUACUACUGUGUAUACGUUUACCAUUUUUGAUUUGUCUUUUCCCUUGAAAUUUGCUGGGGAAUCUCUUACUGUACGUUCACACCGCCGCCGACUUGAGCUUCCAAAGUUACCGGAAGUCAUUCAUUUACAAUGAAAGCUGACUUCUAUCAGCUGCAAGGAGCGUCAAAUCCAUCGGCGUUGCGUUUUGAGCGACCAGAGCAUCAAUCAAAAAGUUGAAAGAAGCUCAAAUUUAUGGUAAUGAGGUAUGACGGGGUUCAGCGGCAAGCAGCAGCAAAACACCAGCAACCAAUCAGAAUAUAGCCUAGACAUUCUUCGCUAGCUGAUUCCGAAGAAACAUUUCAUGGUGACAAAGACUUCAGAGCGGCCAAAGCUUCAACAAGCUUCCGCGUACUUAUUGACAAAUGUCCUUGACCAGGCGGCCUGAGCUUUUUUGGAAGCUCAAGUCGGCAGCAGUGUUAACGUACAUUAGACCACAACCUGAGGGACCCCAGUUUGAAAAAACCGUGCUCUAGUGGACCAAACUGUCUAUUACACAAUGGCUCUGUUUACAUGCACAAAAUUUUCUCAAUCCGACUGAAUUUAAUACGAUUGAAAGUUACGACGAUACAGUUUACAUGCACCCUAAACACUGCAAUCUGAUUUAAAUGUUCGUUUACAUGUACAUUAUAUAGAAUCCGAACCGACAGUCUGCACAAGCACACCGCCAGCGUUGCCAGACUCGCAUAUCAAAACCAUCCGAAUGGAUGUUCAAAACUAGCCCAAAAGCCCACUGACUAUUCACAGCCCAAAUACCAAGAACUAAGCAACGAAAUAAUUUAAUCUUUAACCCGCAGAAAAAACAACUGCUGGAAACAGUUUAAACAGUAGCCCAAAUCUAAACUCGAAAAAAAGCAGAGGACUUGGCCACGCUACGCUGCGGACAGCAUCUCUCGUCGAGUUCACGCUUUAUCUCUGGAUAAAAGUUAAAACUGAGUUAGAAAGUUGUUCUUAAGAAGUUUUCAGAUAUAGGUAAUGAAAACACACAUUUUAAAAGGCACAACGCUAUAUUAAUUACUUUAAGUAGCCUAAUGUUUUAAAAG